UAAACGAUGUCAACUAGGUGUUGGGUGGGUAAAACCAUUUAGUACCGUAGCUAACGCGUGAAGUUGACCGCCUGGGGAGUACGGCCGCAAGGUUAAAACUCAAAGGAAUUGACGGGGACCCGCACAAGCGGUGGAUGAUGUGGAUUAAUUCGAUGCAACGCGAAAAACCUUACCUACCCUUGACAUGUCAGAAACUUGGCAGAGAUGCCUUGGUGCCCGAAAGGGAAUCUGAACACAGGUGCUGCAUGGCUGUCGUCAGCUCGUGUCGUGAGAUGUUGGGUUAAGUCCCGCAACGAGCGCAACCCUUGUCGUUAAUUGCCAUCAUUUAGUUGGGCACUUUAACGAGACUGCCGGUGACAAACCGGAGGAAGGUGGGGAUGACGUCAAGUCCUCAUGGCCCUUAUGGGUAGGGCUUCACACGUCAUACAAUGGUCGGUACAGAGGGUUGCCAAGCCGCGAGGUGGAGCCAAUCCCAGAAAGCCGAUCGUAGUCCGGAUUGCAGGCUGCAACUCGCCUGCAUGAAGUCGGAAUCGCUAGUAAUCGCGGAUCAGCAUGUCGCGGUGAAUACGUUCCCGGGUCUUGUACACACCGCCCGUCACACCAUGGGAGCGGGUUCCGCCAGAAGUAGGUAGCCUAACCGCAAGGGGGGCGCUUACCACGGCGGGGUUCGUGACUGGGGUGAAGUCGUAACAAGGUAGCCGUA
rnacentral:rRNA from 1 species